rnacentral:rRNA from 1 species
GUUCCCAUCCCGAACACAGCAGUUAAGCUCUUUUGUGCCGACAAUACUUGGCUGGUAACGGCCCGGGAAGAUAGGUCUCCGCCGGAU